rnacentral:piRNA from 1 species
UGAUUAUUAUCAUUUAGUAGUGGGAAGAU